rnacentral:rRNA from 1 species
AUUGAACGCUGGCGGCAGGCCUAACACAUGCAAGUCGAGCGGAUGAAGGGAGCUUGCUCCUGGAUUCAGCGGCGGACGGGUGAGUAAUGCCUAGGAAUCUGCCUGGUAGUGGGGGAUAACGUCCGGAAACGGGCGCUAAUAAUGCCUACGUCCUGAGGGAGAAAGAGGGGGGUGUUCGGACCUUACGGUAUCAGAUGAGCGUAGGUGGGGUUAGUUAGUUGGUGGGGUAAAGGGCUACCAAGGCGACGAUCAGUAGAUGGUCGGAGAGGCGGAUCAGUCACACGGGAACUGGGACACGGUCAAGACGCCUACGGGAGGGAGCAGUGGCGAAUGGUAGACAAAGGUGGAAAACCUUAUCCAGCGAGGCGGCGCGUGUUAAGACGGUCUUGCGAUUGUAAAGCACGCUUAGGUGGUAGAAAGCGCAGUAACCUAAGACCUUGCUUGAUUGACGGUACCAACAGAAGAAGCACCGGCUAACUACGUG